AAAUUAUUUAAAUAUAAUUUUCAAAAGAAUAGUUUUUAAUAUACCUUGUAAAUCCAUGAUUCUAUUCAAAAUCAUCAUCAUGAUUUUGAACAGAAUCAUGAAGGAAGGCAAAUUUCUGAUAAUAUUAAAGAACACAUUCCACAUGGCAGUAUAUCAUUCUUCCAACUUAGAUGAUUUGGAUUCAGUUUUGGGUAUCACAGCUCCAGAUUUUUUUUCAGGAGAUCUUAUACCAGAAUGGCUUAAAAAUAACCUCAUCCUUCACCUGAUAGCUACUCUUUUGAUGGAUAUGGGCAGCUCUUGGCAGAUGCUCAAAUAAUGCUGUUGCUUAAUAACUACCAUUUGGAAAGAAGUAUAAAACAAGUACAGAAAUUCCUACCACAGUAUGAUAGGCUUAUGAAUAAUGAAAUGCCUGCCACUUAUUCUAAUAGGCUGAAAUACAGCUCAAAAUUCAAUGGGGAAAAAAGGACACUGAGAAGCUUCCAAUAUUCUAGAUAUAGUAAGAAUUAUAAAUUUAAUUGGC
rnacentral:lncRNA from 1 species